CUUCAUCUCUCACUACCUAAAUUUAUAUAUAUAUUGAUUUCUUUAUUUUUUAAUCUCCAUUACCAAUCAUUCAAACCAAACAAAAAACAACUAACAUGGAUUAUUCUAAAGCUCAUCUCGCCCUCUUCCUUUUGGUCUCGUUUGUCCUUGUUACCUCGGCUCGAAUCAUACCCCAUUCAGAAAAUCAAGAAGCUGCAUAUAUGAUAAUUGACUAUCCUGAGCCAAGACAUCAUCCACCACCUCCAUCACCACCUUCGUUCGAGGUUAACGUUGUCAAGGACCGCCACAUCAAGAAAAAUCCCUAAAGAAAUUUUGGUUGUUAGAGGAGGAAGAAAGUAUCAGUAAGGAAGGAAGCUUAAAAUGAGAAAUGAUGAUGUGCAUGAACCAAUAAUAGCACUAUAUAAAUGUUAUAUUAUCGAAUUAUAUAAUUCCCUUUAUGUGUGUUGAGAAUGAACAAAAUAUAUAUAUAUAGUUUGUUCUAAUACAUGUCUCUCUAUUAUAUCUAAUGAAUAAAUAGAUUUAUGAUAAGACAUUUA